rnacentral:rRNA from 1 species
AAACCUCUUUCAGCAGGGAAAGAAGCGCAAGUGACGGUACCUGCAGAAGAAGCACCGGCUAACUACGUGCCCAGCAGCCGCGGUAAUACGUAGGGUGCGAGCGUUGUCCGGAAUUAUUGGGCGUAAAGAGCUUGUAGGCGGUCUGUCGCGUCUGCUGUGAAAAUCCGGGGCUCAACCCCGGACUUGCAGUGGGUACGGGCAGACUAGAGUGUGGUAGGGGAGACUGGAAUUCCUGGUGUAGCGGUGAAAUGCGCAGAUAUCAGGAGGAACACCGAUGGCGAAGGCAGGUCUCUGGGCCAUAACUGACGCUGAGAAGCGAAAGCAUGGGGAGCGAACAGGAUUAGAUACCCUGGUAGUCCAUGCCGUAAACGUUGGGAACUAGGUGUGGGUCUCAUUCCAUUGAGAUCGGUCCCGCCGCAGCUAACGCAUUAAGUUCCCCGCCUGGGGAGUACGGCCGCAAGGCUAAAACUCAAAGGAAUUGACGGGGGCCCGCACAAGCGGCGGAGCAUGCGGAUUAAUUCGAUGCAACGCGAAGAACCUUACCAAGGCUUGACAUACACCGGAAACAUCCAGAGAUGGGUGCCCCGCAAGGUCGGUGUACAGGUGGUGCAUGG